UGGCGGACGGGUGAGUAGUGUCUGGGAAACUGCCUGAUGGAGGGGGAUAACUACUGGAAACGGUAGCUAAUACCGCAUAACGUCGCAAGACCAAAGAGGGGGACCUUAGGGCCUCUUGCCAUCGGAUGUGCCCAGAUGGGGUUAGCUAGUAGGUGGGGUAACGGCUCACCUAGGCGACGAUCCCUAGCUGGUCUGAGAGGAUGACCAGCCACACUGGAACUGAGACACGGUCCAG
rnacentral:rRNA from 1 species